AAGUCGAACGGUAACAGGAAACAGCUUGCUGUUUCGCUGACGAGUGGCGGACGGGUGAGUAAUGUCUGGGAAACUGCCUGAUGGAGGGGGAUAACUACUGGAAACGGUAGCUAAUACCGCAUAACGUCGCAAGACCAAAGAGGGGGACCUUCGGGCCUCUUGCCAUCGGAUGUGCCCAGAUGGGAUUAGCUAGUAGGUGGGGUAACGGCUCACCUAGGCGACGAUCCCUAGCUGGUCUGAGAGGAUGACCAGCCACACUGGAACUGAGACACGGUCCAGACUCCUACGGGAGGCAGCAGUGGGGAAUAUUGCACAAUGGGCGCAAGCCUGAUGCAGCCAUGCCGCGUGUAUGAAGAAGGCCUUCGGGUUGUAAAGUACUUUCAGCGGGGAGGAAGGGAGUAAAGUUAAUACCUUUGCUCAUUGACGUUACCCGCAGAAGAAGCACCGGCUAACUCCGUGCCAGCAGCCGCGGUAAUACGGAGGGUGCAAGCGUUAAUCGGAAUUACUGGGCGUAAAGCGCACGCAGGCGGUUUGUUAAGUCAGAUGUGAAAUCCCCGGGCUCAACCUGGGAACUGCAUCUGAUACUGGCAAGCUUGAGUCUCGUAGAGGGGGGUAGAAUUCCAGGUGUAGCGGUGAAAUGCGUAGAGAUCUGGAGGAAUACCGGUGGCGAAGGCGGCCCCCUGGACGAAGACUGACGCUCAGGUGCGAAAGCGUGGGGAGCAAACAGGAUU
rnacentral:rRNA from 1 species